CGCCAACUAAUGGAAAGAAGGCAUUGCAAAGUCAUUAUGCAGAGAAGCAAGAUACAUACAGGAGAUUUAAGAUACUGAGAUGGAUGAUUUAUAAUCAAAAGAAGGCGAUAAACAUUAGAAAUUGGGGUGUUUUAAGUAUAGUCUGGAUAUCAGGAGUUUAUUUUCCUCACCUUUCUUAUAGGUACUGUUUCUACAUUUCUUGAAUCCUAUUCUAUGCAGUAAAGGUAGAUUCAAACACCCAGGAAUGCAGCAGGUUUACAGGAAGCAAAAUGAUGCACCAUUUCAUACAGUGUCCCAACUAUAAGUGCAGAAAUGAGUGCACAAUGUAUAAAUGACUUCAAAACCAGAUUGGGGUCAUUUGUACAAGGGAAAUCCCAAUGGACAUACUCAAUGUUGGAAUUUGGGAAAAAGAAUAAUUAAAUCGUAGAAUCAUAGAAUGGUUUGGGUUGGAAGGGACCUGUAAGAUCACCCAGUUCCAAAACUUUGUUUCUCUUUGCUUUAUUAUUUUCCUGUUGCAGUGUAGGAAAAAAAAAAAGAAAAGAGGGGAUUUAUUGGAAAAAAAAUGCUUAAGUAAAUAUGACAGAGUAAGUGGAGGUGGCCAUACCCCAAAGUAAUUUGCAAGGAUUUAUAGCUCAAAAAGGUUAUGUUGAUCAGAGACAAAUACAUUUAAAUGGUGGGGAAGAACCUCCACGGUAAUGCACAGGUUGAGUGAAUCCCCAAUAAACCCUGCCUUAAAACGAGACCAUCGCACCUCUUUAAAAAAAUGAUACAGGGAUUUUCCCUGCCCAGAAUAGGACUGCAGGAUUUGCAUUACUAAAAUGAAUUUCUAUUUAUACUUUCUCAAGCAUGCUUCUCGUUUUGAUGACAAGCUGCAGGAACACCAUGCUGGAGUGUAACAGCUCCUGCAAAUUCUGCCUUAAGAAAAGACACCACACAACGUGUGUUUUUAUGACAUGCACUUGGUGCACUCAGGUGCUGAUGUGUGUAGGGACAAACGGUGACCACAAGCCAGGAGAAGCAUCACCGUCACCGGUGGAAUCACACUAGUUUAAUGCUAAUGCAAAAUGAAUUCAUAAUCUGACUUAUUUGCUAUUAACAGCCCGUGGAAGAAAAUGCUCUGUGUGUAGGAAGUAAAAUUUAUAAUGAAGUUAACAGCAGAAACUGCUUGUAAACAGAUAGUUUACAUCUGAACAGGUGCUUACAUCUAAAAGGGUGCUCUGGCCACAAGCUGCCCCCUCUCAGGAUCUCCAAAUGGAUAUUAAAGAAGGUAACAUAGGGAUGGCUUUCCAAGGCAGCAGAGAAAACCUGCACGCAGCAUGCAUUUAGGCUGUCUAAUUAUGAGUGCUACCCCAUCACUAAUAACACAGAGCAGAAGCUGUUAACAAUUAUGAGCAAAUUCUGUUAUUAGAUUAUUAGACUGAGUAAUUUCAGAGCCUCUAAGGAGCUGAUGAGAAGCAAUGCAUGUAAAGCAGGCGGCCGGGGAAGGCAGGAGGCAACGCCAGCACUGCUCAGGGCACGCGAGGUCACUAUUAUUAGCCACGAGAUAAGACCUGCCAGAGAUUCUUUCCUCAAUAAGAGCAUCCUAAAAAUAAAACACUUUUUACUGCUCUUGAAAAUAAAAGCGCCACUUUGCAUGCCCAUUUCAUCCCUUCGUAAUACUCAAACUACCAGAUGAAAUGAGAAUAAACUAAGCUUCGCCGUUCGGAUGCAAUUUAGGGAUUAGCGGAGGGCUGAAGUAGGCAGAUAAUUCCUCCUGGGUGGUACAAGGAGAGCAUUGAAAAUAGUCCCAGGAGGCAUUUUCCCUGGUGAUCCUUGGGGAGGGGAAAGCGGGGCAAGUUGGGGAGGCAUGGGUGCCAGGGGUACAGCAACCCGCUCAAGCUUUAUAGGGGUCCAAAGCACACAGCCUUGCAAGGAAUUCUCCCCAUCUUGUCGUGCUUUGGCCAGCAGUAGCCUUGUGAAGAGCUUUCAUCUCUCUUUGCUGAGGUGGUCAUGGCGUUGCACAGGAGAGGCUGGCGAAGGCAGCGCAGGGAGUGUUGGGCAACUUCAGCCAACAUCUCCUAGACUUUGGAUUUGGCUGACCUCCGUGGCUGGGAGUGCAAUAAGCUGCAUUUUGCCAGCUGCACGUGAUUCAUUCAGUCCUGUUCAAGAACUGGAGCACUAAGGCAACAGGGAAACUGAGGAACAGCAAAGUGGCUUAUGGCAGAACUAGGAAGAAGACCUUGAUCCCUUCCAUCUUUCCAACUCUUCCUGCCCUUACCACAGCACGAGCUCUGAAAAAUUCAUACUAUACCCUUGGAAGAAAAAACAAAGGUCAUGCCUGGAGUGAAUAAUUACUGUUUUUAAUCCCACUGCUCAAUAGUUCAUCCUCUUUCCAUCCAUGACAAACAACAUGCAACUCUGUGAAGGUUUUUCUAGCUCAAACACACCAAUAAUUAAAACCAAACAGACUAUUUUGUAAUCCACCUUUUGCUUACAGUAAGCAUUAGAUACGGAGAUAUUCUUGUUCCAGUCCCCACUGGCUUGUUAAGUCUACUUGAGUGUCUUGAGAGAGGGAUGAAAAGACAACAUAAUUUGCUAUGUGGUGGGAGUCCUUUAAACCUUUGGCUCUUUGGGGAUAAUGUUUCCCUUUGCUCACAUUCUCCAGCCCAGCACACACACGUGGGAGAAGAAGCACUGGGAGGUUGCAUGGCCAAGGCAAACCCAUCUCUGCCACAUGGAGAAGGGAGAGGAUGCAUGUGCUCCUCUGUGCCAACGGGACUGUCCUCUCCUGGUACCCAGGUUUAGCAGUGGUGAUGUCAGGUAUGGAUGAGGAAGCCUGCUCCUUCCUUCUCACUCAGUGCCUGGAUUAAAGCCUGAGGAGAGGAGGGAGGGCUGAGUGGCAGUAUUAGGAAAAGGGAUUUGAGCAUGUGUCUUGUCUUCUUGUGACAAGUACUCCAGUCAGCUUCCCUGCAGCUUAGAAUCAGCAAACUCAGCUCCAUUGGGGCAGGCAGAGCAGAUGGAUUUGACACUGAGGUGAAAGUACUGCACACUGGACAGAGACUGUAAACUCCAAAACCUGGCACCAAAGCAGACAUGGUGUGAGCAUCCUUAGCUCCUACUGCAUCUGCUUAUGCAUGGGACUGCCUGCAUUAUUCCAGUACUGGAGGCUGCUGGAGAAACAAGGGAAGAGAUACAAUAGGUUGAGUUUCUAACAGAAGACCCUCUGUGUUUUGUUAUUUUUAUAAGAGGAAAAAAAAGAUGAGAGAUUUAUCCUAGAGUAAGCUGAGAUAAUUAAAGUCCUCUGGCAGAUAGCUUUUUUGCAGCAGAUACCUAUGAAUUCUCCUGAAUGCAUGGAAUCAGAAUAAUUAAGGUUGGAAAAGACAUCUAAAAUCCCCAAAUCCAACCAUCAACCCAUCCCCACAAUGCCCACCACCCAUGUCCCUCAGUGCCACAUCUACCUUGUGUGUUUGGUGAAACUCAGGUAGCAUGAUCAGCUUAGCUUUUUCCAAAUGCUUUGCAAGGAUUAUUAGAAGUUUAGGAAAGGGAAAGCAAAAUCCUUCCCUAUCAGCUGUGCUGGCCCUUAUCUUAGCCUGAAGUUAUAAAUGAAAUCAAUCCAAAGCAUAUAUUUAGCAAUGACGUGUUUGUUCUGUCCCAGUGCCACUUGCUUAGAUGCUGUAUCACCCUUCCUUUCCCCUUUCUUUCAUCCGUUCAGCCUCUUUCAGUUCAUCAUCCCCCACUGCAAUGUUUGUCUUUCAGCAGCAACUUCCAGAAAAAUGGGAACUGACCUCAACUUGAGCCCAAGUAAUGGAGACAAACAUCACCCAAGAACUGCUUGUCGUGCAAUGGCAGUGGUUGGGAUAGAGCUCUAUGUGGGAUGGGAUGUGCCUGGUACACGCACAGCACUGAUGUGUCCCACGGGCUCCUUCCCACUGCCAGGAGGGGAGAUGACAUCCUUUCCCUCAUUGCUUCAUAGAAUCAUAGAGAGGCUUAGAUUGGAAGGGACCUUAAAGAUGAUCCAGUCCCACCUCCCCCUGCCACAGUCUGGUUGCCAUUUAUUAGCUCAGAUUGCCCAGGGCCCCAUCCAACCUGGCCUUGGCCACCUCCAGGGAUGGGGCAUCUGCAAUAAGAAAUACACUGCUGAUGGCACCGGCCUGCUUAAUGCAAAUUUAUUAUAUAUAAUAGACACAAAGCUUGGAGCAAUCAGGAAAAGAAGUCUCUUCUCCUCUCCCAUGUUUCCUGCCAAACGUGAUGAGCACACAUUAAGGCUCAUUAGGUUAAAACAGUGCUAUUCUGCAUUUCUCCUGUCAAACUCUAACUGGCGUUACAGGGGAAAAUAUACACAUAGAAAGGCUGCUAAGCCACAAUGGAUGGAGUUUGGAAAUCUUUUUAUGUAAUUUUAUACGUCCUUUGGAAGUCUGUUCUUAACCAAUUGGGUGAUAUAUGGGGUUGAGGGUAGGGGGAGAUGUUCAUGCUACUCCUGAAGGGUCCUUAAGGAAAUCAGGCUGUUGUUAAUAGGCAUCAUUUGGUCUGCAAGAAAAAAAAAAAAUCACCUUUGGAGCACUUUUUGAGGUCUGUUGGUACACAGGAGUGAUUUGAAUGGUCCUUUCUUUUAGUAGUGUUUGUUCUGAUAAUUCUUUAGUUGGUAAAUUUGCGGUUUGGGAUUAAACCUGGCCAUAUAUUUUUAGGAGCCUGAUUAAUGGCCACAGGUGGAUUUAGCUGCAGUGAUUAAGGUGUUUUCUCUGCCCUGCUGUCAGUUUGGGGUUAUUUAGAUACAGCUGAGCAGGAUGGGGUUCCACUCUGCCCCCAGCACCCAGACCUGCUCUCUGCUGGGAACCACAGCUCCUCACUCUGCUCAGAUCACACGUUUGUGUAGAGGUGUUUUAUUGUUUUGUUUUGUUUUGUUUUUUAAUAUCAUGACUCGGGGGGAAAAUGUGCACAUAACGGUAGAAUUAAAAGGAAUAGAAAUCUUUGCAUCACGAAAAGCAAAGCCAGUGCCUGGCUUGGGUGCCAGAGCCGUGAACCAGAGACAUCCAUCCCCGUUCGGCCCCAUCGCUGAGCCCCCCCAGUGGGUGGGGGCAGCAGCGGAACCUCCUCACCCCCCACCCCCUAGGUCCUAAGCGUUCUUCAAACGGCAACGAAAAGCCACGGCCCGGGCACCCACCCCCCGCAUCAUCUUCCUGCCGCCGCGGGAGGAAAGUUUCGGAUCCCAUUGCUCAGUGCAGACGUUGCACCAGGUGGGUGAGCCAAGAGCCCAGCAUGCAGCAGGAACGGAGUCCUGUGCCCCAGGUGGGGGCUUCUCCUUCAUUUUCCUCUGAUGUUAAGUACAUUUCUGUGAGCACAUAUAUUUUGUGCACGUACAUCUGUGUUCCUACCCAUCUCAUCUGUGCACCUGGAGCUGUGCUCGCCAGCAGGAGUGAUGCUGGGGAGGGGCAAUGUUGCUAGGAGAUGGAGGCUCCAGUGCCUGGUGAAGUGGUAUCUUUAUUUUUGGUGUCGAUCACAUGAAAUUGCAUUUGGCUGUGGAGCAGGACAGGGAUCUCUUCCCUUUGCUCAGUGAAUGAUGCAGAAAAGAAAUGUAGACUGGGCAGCUCAGUUAGGAAUGGGUCAGGAUGGUGCCCUUUCUGGUUCAGGAUGCAUUUUCCAGCUCAAUGUGACUGAAAAAAGAUGAGGAAUGCCAUGCAUCUAUUUAUACAGGAGCUCAGGUUUGGGGCCAUGCCAUCUAACCCCUGUAAGUGCCCUAAAUCUGUGGAUUUUCAGCAGGAUUUGAUUUCCUGGGCUGUUUGGAGGAGAUAGUUAAUGAGAUAAUGCAGCAGUGGGUGAACUGUGACACGCGAAAUGCUUUAUUUUGAAUGUUUCAGGAACGACGUGCAUCAGAGGCUUUAGAUUUGUAACCAAGCAAUUUCCAUUUGUGUUAUGUAACUGACGUUAUUUAUCAAGCUCCAUACCCUGGCCAAGAGCAGAUGUUGGACUGCAGCAUUGAAAAUGAACUUUUCUGGAGAUGGAUGCUGAGCACUUUCAAGUGGGUUAUUUAGAAGGUUUGUGACCAGAAAUCAAACCAGGCUGAAAAAAAAUGUAGAUCUACCUGUUUACAUCAUAAACCACGAACACAUUUGCAUCCUGCAACAAACACCUGGGCAACAUCCAGUGGAGACAUUCCCAACGUGUUAACUACUGCCAGCGCUGGAAUCCUGUAAUCACAGCACAUCAAGAUGAUGGGAACUCAAUUAAAUUAAGGAGAAACACCAAGAUUGUGAAACUUGGCGGCAGGACAAGAGCUGGUUGCAACACAGGCUGGACUUUAGAAGCGUGACCUUUUGACCUGAAUCAUGACAAGUGAUUAUGAGGAAGAGCUGCUCUCACUUCUAAAUUAUUGCCACGCAAUGAGCAGAUUUCUACGGGGUGGCUGAAGUCAUGUCCUGAGAUACGAGGGAUACAAGCAUCCCAUUCCUGCUCUACUUUGUACUACAAGACUGGUCUUAGCGAAGCUUAUUCUCUUAAAAUGUCCUGACUGGCUGAAUAAAACACAAUUUCUGUUCUAAUAUUGUUGGGUUGUGAAACAUUGCAAUAGAGGCACAAAUGUGAGCAAGAACAAGUUUUACUGCAGACGCUUUAUCUUCUAAUAGAUUGUCCCAGUGCUGCAUUCCUCAUUCCCUGGCAGUUUGGUCCAGCUCAGAUUGGAAGAUGGUGAAGAUCUUGGGAGAUCUCCAAUAACGUAGGGCAAAAUGCACUGAUAACAGAAAUGCAAUGGCUUUGGUUGAUCUGUAGAAGGAAAAAAAAAAGAAACGGUCCACAGUGAGAAUGCAGAAUAAGAUUGAGAGGAAAAGCUGAGCCCUAAAAGGGAGGCUGGUGCGUGGUGUAUUCAAUAAUUGCAUUU